ACAUUUCAUUCUCUCUCCUCUAUUAUGCCGUAUGUUUCUUUUCUCUCUCCUCCAUAAUCUCUUGAUUUUUUCUCUCUCAUCUCACUCAUUCUCUCCUUCCAACUCAAAAUAAAUGUUAAACUCAUCAAAUUUCAGUGGAUUUUGCUUCAAGCUUUAAUAAUUUUGACGUUAGCUUUAAAGGUGGCUACUCGUGGUGUGGUUCGGGAGUUUCUACUACUCGGAUCGGUGUUUGGUAAGCGGUGCAGUAGUCGAGAUUUGGUGCGGUGGCGAGCUGAUGGUUGCAGGGUGGUCCGAUGGUAACUGGUUGUGCGGUUGGAGGUACAGUUACUUGAGUGAUAGGCUUACAUGUAGUAACUUUGUCCUUGAUUGGGCUCUGUUCUUAGGGACAGUGUGGGGUAUGUUCUUUGCUGCGGGGUAGCUCAGGGUCCUGAGAAGUGGGAUACGAAGGUAGCAGAGGCCAAUGAAAUUUUAUGGGGUCUGAAGUUAGCGCUGGACGAAGGCAUUGAUAAGUUAGUGGUUGAAACUGGAAAGUGAUUGCUUGGGUUUAAUUCAAGAUAUGCGUGCUCAACCCAGUGGCUUAAGUUCAUUUCAUUUAAUUGUUGAUGAUAUUUUAGAGUUCUAGUUUUAGUAGUAUGGUCAAAAUUGAAACAGUUACCCAAUUUUUGUAUAUAGCGACCUCUAUGUAAAUGCCGUCAAAUUGAUAUAGUUACCCUAUUUUUGUA